rnacentral:lncRNA from 1 species
AUUAAUCAAUGUAUACUAUAUUUUCCAUAAAAAAUAGUUCAAAGUAAUAUAUGAAGUAGACAUUAUAAAAAUAUUCCUGAAAUAAAAUUUUUGAUUAAUAUUUUGCCAUGAUGAUGAUGAUGAUGAUUGUAGAAAAUGGGGGCUUUAAACAGCCUUAGUACUACAAUCAACCAAUGAUCUGUUGUUCACUCUUAAUAAGAUCAUCUCAUAAGAAGUCUCAUUUUACAUACAAAAGAUAGUAUUUUCUUCAACAGGACUAUAAAAUAUCUUCUAGUGCAAGAAAAUGCAAUCCUAGAAAAUUAUAUUAUAGCUCUGAAAGAGUCACACAUUCCCAUAAAAUGUGUAGACAAGUUUCAUCUCCUCCCUGACAUCUUUUACAAUUGGAAUUAUCAGCAAUCUCAAUUAAGUAAGGAUAUCAUCUUAGAAGACAUACAUCAUCAUCUCAUCAUGUCAUUUUAGAAGCUCUAACAAUCCUAGCUUGAUUUUUAUGCAAUGCAAACAACUCUUUACAGAAAAGAAAAAGGACCUGAAAUAAUCUUUGUUUGCUUUAAUGAAGGAAUAGAUCUCCAAUGGAAAAGAUGCCUGACCUGCCAAUCAGUUCCUGACAAUCUGCUCAAAUGUGUCAGAUCUUAUAACCAGGGCAAGCCCAGGUCCAAGUCCAGUAAAGGGACAUUGUGGAUGGGUUGGUCAACUUCCUUGACCAACUCAUCUACAAUCUCAUUCCCUCAAUCCCUGUGUGCCCUGGCAUGCAAACAAGUUGAACUCCUGGUAGUCAGUUCCACAAUGAGAUGAUGACAUUCCCACACAAGCUUUGAAGUAAAGUAGGAAC